GCAAACUUGGUCAUUUAGAGGAAGUAAAAGUCGUAACAAGGUUUCCGUAGGUGAACCUGCGGAAGGAUCAUUAUUGAAUUGAAAACAGGGGUUGUGCUGGCCUUUUAAGGCAUGUGAACACCCCUAUUAUUCAAAUCCAUACCCCUGUGCACUCUUGUAGGUCUGAGGAAACUUAGCCUAUGUAUUUUUAUAUACACACAUAUAAUAUAAAGUUAUACAGAAUGCCCUGUUGUUAAAGUAGGCUUUGUAAUAAAGCUGAAAUAAUUUACAUCAUACAACUUUCAACAACGGAUCUCUUGGCUCUCGCAUCGAUGAAGAACGCAGC
rnacentral:misc_RNA from 1 species